UUAUAGAUGGGUCUACAUUUACUCGCUCGCCUGGGACUAAUCCUCAAGCUACCGUUAUGAUGCUUGGAAGAUAUAUGGGACUGAGGAUUCUUCAAGAGAGAUAUUUCUUGAAGAAGUAGAAUAAAUAUUUGUACACGAAUUCUUUAGCAGUGUGUCCUGCCGAUUUCUUGGAAAAGGGGACCAAAGGGCAAAAUUAGUUGCAGCUUAGCAGGCAGUACACUGAGUCCUGAUGGGCUUGUAGCCAUUCUGGCUCAUAUGUUUAACUCUUUGGUUGCUUUUUUCUUUGAUGCUAUAAUAAGCAUUUUGCUUUGUAUUCAGCUGCCAUUUCUAAAGGGUAAGACAGGCUUAAAUUUGUGUUUGCUGAA